CCCAGGGGGCCGCAAGCCUGACGGAGCACGCCGCGUGAGGGAUGAAGGCCUCUGGGCUGUAAACCUCUUUUAUCAAGGAAGAAGAUCUGACGGUACUUGAUGAAUAACCCACGGCUAAUUCCGUGCCAACAGCCGCGGUAAUACCGGAGUGGCAAGCGUUAUCCGGAAUUAUUGGGCGUAAAGCGUCCGCAGGCGGCCCUUCAAGUCUGCUGUUAAAAAGUGGAGCUUAACUCCAUCAUGGCAGUGGAAACUGAUGGGCUCGAGUGUGGUAGGGGCAGAGGGAAUUCCCGGUGUAGCGGUGAAAUGCGUAGAUAUCGGGAAGAACACCAGUGGCGAAGGCGCUCUGCUGGGCCAUCACUGACGCUCAUGGACGAAAGCCAGGGGAGCGAAAGGGAUUAAAUACCCCUGUAGUCCUGGCCGUAAACGAUGAACACUAGGUGUCGGGGGAAUCGACCCCUCCGGUGUCGUAGCCAACGCGUUAAGUGUU
rnacentral:rRNA from 1 species